UCCGUAGGGUGCAAGCGUUAAUCGGAAUUACUGGGCGUAAAGCGUGCGCAGGCGGUUGUGCAAGACAGAUGUGAAAUCCCCGGGCUUAACCUGGGAACUGCAUUUGUGACUGCACGGCUAGAGUGUGUCAGAGGGGGGUAGAAUUCCACGUGUAGCAGUGAAAUGCGUAGAUAUGUGGAGGAAUACCGAUGGCGAAGGCAGCCUCCUGGGCCAACACUGACGCUCAUGCACGAAAGCGUGGGGAGCAAACAGG
rnacentral:rRNA from 1 species